rnacentral:rRNA from 1 species
UACGUAGGGUGCAAGCGUUGUCCGGAAUCAUUGGGCGUAAAGAGCGUGUAGGCGGUCCGGUAAGUCCGCUGUGAAAGUCGGGGGCUCAACCCUCGAAUGCCGGUGGAUACUGUCGGGCUAGAGUGCGGAAGAGGCGAGUGGGAAUUCCUGGUGUAGCGGUGAAAUGCGCAGAUAUCAGGAGGAACACCUAUUGCGAAGGCAGCUCGCUGGGACGUAACUGACGCUGAGACGCGAAAGCGUGGGGAGCAAACAGA